UACGUAGGGUGCAAGCGUUGUCCGGAAUUAUUGGGCGUAAAGAGCUCGUAGGCGGCUUGUCGCGUCGGCUGUGAAAACCCGCGGCUCAACCGCGGCCUGCAGCCGAUACGGGCAGGCUAGAGUUCGGUAGGGGAGACUGGAAUUCCUGGUGUAGCGGUGAAAUGCGCAGAUAUCAGGAGGAACACCGGUGGCGAAGGCGGGUCUCUGGGCCUUACCUGACGCUCAGGCACGAAAGCUAGGGGAGCGAACAGG
rnacentral:rRNA from 1 species